AGUUGCUAGGAUUAGACCCGAAACCGAGUGAUCUAGCCAUGGGCAGGUUGAAGGUGAGGUAACACUUACUGGAGGACCGAACCGACUAAUGUUGAAAAAUUAGCGGAUGACUUGUGGCUAGGGGUGAAAGGCCAAUCAAACUCGGAGAUAGCUGGUUCUCCCCGAAAGCUAUUUAGGUAGCGCCUCGGACGAAUACUACUGGGGG
rnacentral:rRNA from 1 species